AGAGUUUGAUCCUGGCUCAGGAUGAACGCUAGCGGCAGGCUUAACACAUGCAAGUCGAGGGGCAGCGGGGAGGAAACUUGCUUUCUCCGCCGGCGACCGGCGCACGGGUGAGUAACACGUAUGCAACCUGCCCCUGUCAGGGGGACAACCCGCCGAAAGGCGGGCUAAACCCGCGUACAUGCCACCGGGGCAUCCCGGAGGCAGGAAAGGCUUCGGCCGGACAGGGAUGGGCAUGCGGCGCAUUAGGCAGUAGGCGGGGUGACGGCCCACCUAACCGACGAUGCGUAGGAGUUCUGAGAGGAAGGUCCCCCACACUGGUACUGAGACACGGACCAGACUCCUACGGGAGGCAGCAGUGAGGAAUAUUGGUCAAUGGUCGGGAGACUGAACCAGCCAAGCCGCGUGAGGGAGGAAGGUACAGAGUAUCGUAAACCUCUUUUGUCAGGGAACAAAGGCGGGGACGUGUCCCCGGAUGAGUGUACCUGAAGAAAAAGCAUCGGCUAACUCCGUGCCAGCAGCCGCGGUAAUACGGAGGAUGCGAGCGUUAUCCGGAUUUAUUGGGUUUAAAGGGUGCGCAGGCGGUCUGUUAAGUCAGCGGUCAAAGCCCGGGGCUCAACCCCGGCCCGCCGUUGAAACUGGCAGUCUCGAGUUGGAGAGAAGUAUGCGGAAUGCGCGGUGUAGCGGUGAAAUGCAUAGAUAUCGCGCAGAACUCCGAUUGCGAAGGCAGCAUGCCGGCUCCACACUGACGCUGAGGCACGAAAGCGUGGGUAUCGAACAGGAUUAGAUACCCUGGUAGUCCACGCAGUAAACGAUGAAUGCUGGCUGUCCGGGGGGACUGACCCCUGGGUGGCGAAGCGAAAGCGAUAAGCAUUCCACCUGGGGAGUACGCCGGCAACGGUGAAACUCAAAGGAAUUGACGGGGGCCCGCACAAGCGGAGGAACAUGUGGUUUAAUUCGAUGAUACGCGAGGAACCUUACCCGGGCUCAAACGGGGAGUGGCGCAGGCAGAGACGCCUGUUUCCCACGGGACACUCCCCGAGGUGCUGCAUGGUUGUCGUCAGCUCGUGCCGUGAGGUGUCGGCUUAAGUGCCAUAACGAGCGCAACCCCCGCGUGCAGUUGCUAACAGUCAACGCUGAGGACUCUGCACGGACUGCCGGCGCAAGCCGCGAGGAAGGCGGGGAUGACGUCAAAUCAGCACGGCCCUUACGUCCGGGGCGACACACGUGUUACAAUGGGUGGUACAGCGGGAAGCCAGGCGGCGACGCCGAGCGGAACCCGAAAUCCACUCUCAGUUCGGAUCGGAGUCUGCAACCCGACUCCGUGAAGCUGGAUUCGCUAGUAAUCGCGCAUCAGCCAUGGCGCGGUGAAUACGUUCCCGGGCCUUGCACUCACCGCCCGUCA
rnacentral:rRNA from 1 species